rnacentral:rRNA from 1 species
UACAGAGGGUGCAAGCGUUAAUCGGAAUUACUGGGCGUAAAGCGUGCGUAGGUGGUUGCUUAAGUCAGCUGUGAAAGCCCCGGGCUCAACCUGGGAACUGCAGUUGAUACUGAGUAGCUAGAGUAGAAUAGAGGACAGUAGAAUUUCCGGUGUAGCGGUGAAAUGCGUAGAUAUCGGAAAGAAUACCAGUGGCGAAGGCGGCUGUCUGGAUUCAUACUGACACUGAGGCACGAAAGCGUGGGUAGCAAACAGG